UUCUCAUGUCUUAACAUAAUCUCAAAUGCACAUACAACCAAGACAAAAAACAGAAACAACUUCUUUUUUAUCUUCUUUUUUUUUUUAAAUCUUCUUCUAACUUCCAUGCUUCCUCAACAAUCAGCACAGGAAGCUCCAUCUUACCUUUAAAAAAUAUGAGUAUUUCUAGUUUUUCAUAUGUUCCAUAAAAAGAGUAGCUCUAUUGGGGAGUGAAGGAAAUGGAAAGGUAGAGCAUAUUCGGAAGAGACUGAGUACUGAUCGUGUUUUUCCUUUCUCCAAACAGGUGUGACUUCAUCUCCAUCUAUUUGUGUCUGCAUGAUUAUUUGAUAUUGUUCUGCACUAAAAUUAUCUGAAAGUAGUUGUUAAUUUCACUGCCCAUUAGCUGUAAUCAAUUGAGAGAUCCAAAUUAAUUUCGAGUUGGAAUUGGGGUUACUGAAGGUAAUUGGUGGGUAGUGAUCUUUAAUCUAAUGAUCUUAUGUGAUUCUAACUCAGUGUCCUCUGCCAAUCUUCCAAAAGAUUCCUUUCUCUAGUAUCUUUUGCCCUUCUAACAAACUUCUCCAACCCCAAGAGGGGUUCCUGUCUGUCUUUGUGUGAUACGAUAUUCGAGUGUCUGAAGUACUUACUCUUGCAAAAUUUGUAAAUCAGAGAAUUAGGUUUCGUUAGUAGUCGUCAUCCUUGUUUCCUCAGCAUAGCUAAAUUAAAAACUUUUUAAGUCUUUGAAGUUUAGGCCUCUUUAUUUUUCGGUCUGCAAAUAAUACUCAAAUUCACCCUGUGCAUCCUUCUUUCCUCAUCAUUUUGUCCCCACCAUAAUUACAUAAUCGUUCUCUGGAUUUCUUCUACUAGCCGAAAGUAUAGAUCUCUUCUAAUGUUGUAACUUCUUUACCACUUUGUCUUUGAUAAAAUUAAAAGUAGACUUCUUUGAUCUGUGAAUAACUACUAUAAGGCCCAGGUACAUGUCUUAGUUCCAAACAUGAAGAACCUAUAGAAUACCAGAUAAAUAUUCUCUAGUAACCAUUAGGGUGUUAUGGCUAAAGAAAAUUGAAGAUUUAUCCAAAUUCACCACUUUUUCACUUAGUUAACUAUAAUUAUUUAGCACAUUAAGUAUAUUAACACAGUUCUUUUGUGAAGCCUUGCUAAAUAAAAUAGAAUUAUCAACAAAAAAUAAAUGACUGAUAGUAGAACACUUACGAUUGAGUCUCAAACCCACAAUUUUGCGUCUUUGUUCUCCUCUGUGGAGCAGAUGGGAGAGUCCCUCUGCACAAAGCAAAAAUAAAUAAAAAGAGACGAAACCCUCUACAUGAUUUGAAAAAAAACUAUGAGGUUGACCUUCCACAAUAACAGAAUAUGAGACUAUUAUCACACAUUUCUUCAUCCAGUCUAUCCAUUUCUUACUAAAUCUCAUUUUCUCCACUAUAGUUCACACAAAACUCCAUUCCACCCUAUCAUAUACUUUACUUAUAUCCAACUUCAGUGCUAAGUCUUAAUUAUCAUAAUGUUUAUUCUUCAAAUAAUGCAUAUAUUCAUGAGCAAUUAAAAUGUUGUCACUAAUAAGCAUGCCUUUAAUUAAUGCACUUUGAUUAGAGCUAAUUAUCUUGUUCAUCACAUAUAUUUACGAGCAAUUAAAAUAUUGUCACUAAUAAGGCUGCCUUUAAUUAAUGUACUUUGAUUAGAGCUAAUUAUCUUGUUCAUCACAUGUUGUAUACGGUGAAUCAAUAUUUUAGACACAAUCUUGUAAAACACACCGAGUCUGAUUUGUCUAAUUUAUUUUAUAUAUCUCGCAUUUGGUACUUUAGGGACAAGACAAAUAUUAGUGUGGUUAAAAAACCAUAGCAUAUGACCUCCAAAGAAAAAAUUGGCCGCUGCUCUAUUAACAUCAUCUUUAAUUAUUUUUCAAAAGAAUUAAAAAAAUUAGCUGUAAAUCUAUCCUCACUUGGGGCAGAGAAAUGGUUGAUAGAAAAUGUAACCAAUUUAAUUUUUUUCUCUGUGACUGGUCUGGUUAACAUUUUGUUCGUAUUAGGCUAUUAGCAUCUAUCUUUCAUGGCAUAUCCUCCAAAUCAUCUGUAGAGUCUUUAGGAUUAGAGGUGCUAAAGAGGGCUUCAAAAUACAACUGAGCAAUGGUGACAAUACCCGUUGAAUCUGUUUUAAAUUCUCCAUCUUCAUCUUCCAACCUUGAGAUCUUAUUUUUCCGAUUCCUUGUUUGCACUUUGGAAUGAAAAAACUUAGUAUUGUUGUCCCCAUUGCAGCCAAUUAACUCAAAUUUCUCCUUCCAAUACAUCUCUUUCAUUUCAUACGCAUCCUCCAAUUUAGCCUCAAUAUGCCUUAUAACCUCUCCAUUUGUAUCGGGGCUCCGAUUCUGUUCUUCCACUAACAUGUUAUUGAGGUUAAAGAUCUGAAUUUUAGUGUCAGAACCAUAACUACUAGUCUUUUGCUAGUCCAUCAGGGCGUGUCUGCACCAUGUUAGCUUUUGAUGCAGUUGGAACAUUGGUGAAUCCUCCACCUCCUUCCCUGCCUUGACAAUCUCUCUUGCCUCCUCCUUAUCAUAUCAGCGUUCUUGAAACUUAAAUCUCCUUUUAGGUUUAGGACCAGAAUCAGAAUUAAAAAAAAUUGGUUUAUGGUCUGAUCCGAUAUCCUCCAAGUGGGACAAUAUAUCCCUCAGGUAAGAUUCUCUUAGAGUUGCUGAAAUGAGACCUCUAUUCAAUCUCUCCCUGAUGUAGUUGCCAUUAAAUUGUCUGUUGCUCCAUGUAAAUUUUCUCUCUUUAAAACCAACAUCCACCAAUCUUCCUCUAUUAAUAAAAUCAUUGAAUUGUUGAAUGAAAGAGCUUGACUUCAUCCUCCCUCCCUUCUUUUCAUGGUAAGCCGUUAUAGCAUUAAAGUCAUCAAUUACAAGACAGUGAUCCCGUCAGAUGCUUGUAAUAAUACUCAAGAUUCUAUCAAAUUGUGCUUCCCGAGACCUCUCUUUUGUGUGCAAAUGAACCCCAACUAUCUCCUAUAUUUGCUACAGUGAUGGUUCCUCCCACCUAAAAUGGAUGUAGUAAUCUUUUUGUUAGACUAUUUGAAUGUUACUCCUUCCCUUCCAUGUCACAACUAAACCACCAGAUAAUCCUCUUGGCGCCACACGCACACAGUGAACAUACUCAAACCCAAAACUUAAAACAAUUCUCUCCACAUUUGGGGUAGUGUUCUUUGUUUCACAUAGAAACACUACCUCGGAAAAAUGGGUUUUCAUCAACCCUUUCAUGUUGUGAAUUGUCAGAGAUUUUUCCAAACUUCGACAAUUCUACAUCAACAUCUUUAUGGACCUUUGGGUGCCAAGUAUUGGGUGGCACCCUCUUCCAAUUUCACUUGAGUUUCCUCUGUGUAGACAAUGUCUUCUUCUUCGAUCCUUCUCCCUCCUCCUCC